GGUGGCCUAGUGGUUAUAGUGUCCUCCUUGGAUGUGGGAGGUCGUAUGUUCGUUUCAUACCAAAAAUUUACA